GACGAACGCUGGCGGCGUGCUUAACACAUGCAAGUCGAACGGAAAGGCCCUGCUUUUGUGGGGUGCUCGAGUGGCGAACGGGUGAGUAACACGUGAGUAACCUGCCCUUGACUUUGGGAUAACUUCAGGAAACUGGGGCUAAUACCGGAUAGGAGCUCCUGCUGCAUGGUGGGGGUUGGAAAGUUUCGGCGGUUGGGGAUGGACUCGCGGCUUAUCAGCUUGUUGGUGGGGUAGUGGCUUACCAAGGCUUUGACGGGUAGCCGGCCUGAGAGGGUGACCGGCCACAUUGGGACUGCGAUACGGCCCAGACUCCUACGGGAGGCAGCAGUGGGGAAUAUUGCACAAUGGGCGGAAGCCUGAUGCAGCAACGCCGCGUGCGGGAUGACGGCCUUCGGGUUGUAAACCGCUUUCGCCUGUGACGCAGCGUGAGUGACGGUAAUGGGUAAAGAAGCACCGGCUAACUACGUG
rnacentral:rRNA from 1 species